rnacentral:rRNA from 1 species
GAUGAACGCUGGCGGCGUGCCUAAUACAUGCAAGUCGAGCGAACAGAUAAGGAGCUUGCUCCUUUGACGUUAGCGGCGGACGGGUGAGUAACACGUGGGUAACCUACCUAUAAGACUGGGAUAACUUCGGGAAACCGGAGCUAAUACCGGAUAACAUUUGGAACCGCAUGGUUCUAAAGUGAAAGAUGGUUUUGCUAUCACUUAUAGAUGGACCCCCGCCGUAUUAGCUAGUUGGUAAGUUAACGGCUUACCAAGGCAACGAUACGUAGCCGACCUGAGAGGGUGAUCGGCCACCCUGGAACUGAGACACGGUCCAGACUCCUACGGGAGGCAGCAGUAGGGAAUCUUCCGCAAUGGGCGGAAGCCUGACGGAGCAACGCCGCGUGAGUGAUGAAGGGUUUCGGCUCGUAAAACUCUGUUAUUAGGGAAGAACAAACGUGUAAGUAACUGUGCACGUCUUGACGGUACCUAAUCAGAAAGCCACGGCUAACUACGUG